CAGUAGCCGCGGUAAUACAGAGGGUGCGAGCGUUAAUCGGAUUUACUGGGCGUAAAGCGUGCGUAGGCGGCUUUUUAAGUCGGAUGUGAAAUCCCUGAGCUUAACUUAGGAAUUGCAUUCGAUACUGGGAAGCUAGAGUAUGGGAGAGGAUGGUAGAAUUCCAGGUGUAGCGGUGAAAUGCGUAGAGAUCUGGAGGAAUACCGAUGGCGAAGGCAGCCAUCUGGCCUAAUACUGACGCUGAGGUACGAAAGCAUGGGUAGCAAACAGGAUUAGAUACCCCUGUAGUCCCUGUCUCUUAUAC
rnacentral:rRNA from 1 species